rnacentral:rRNA from 1 species
AUUGAACGCUGGCGGCAUGCCUUACACAUGCAAGUCGAACGGCAGCACGGGAGCAAUCCUGGUGGCGAGUGGCGAACGGGUGAGUAAUAUAUCGGAACGUGCCCAGUAGUGGGGGAUAACUGCUCGAAAGAGCAGCUAAUACCGCAUACGACCUGAGGGAGAAAGGGGGGGAUCGGAAGACCUCUCGCUAUUGGAGCGGCCGAAAUCAGAUUAGCUAGUUGGUGGGGUAAAGGCCUACCAAGGCAACGAUCUGUAGUUGGUCUGAGAGGCACGACCAGCCACACUGGGACUGAGACACGGCCCAGACUCCUACGGGAGGCAGCAGUGGGGAAUUUUGGACAAUGGGCGCAAGCCUGAUCCAGCAAUGCCGCGUGCAGGAAGAAGGCCUUCGGGUUGUAAACUGCUUUUGUCAGGGAAGAAAUCCUCUAGGUUAAUACCCUUGGGGGGAUGACGGUACCUGAAGAAUAAGCACCGGCUAACUCCGUGCCAGCCGCCGCCGUAAGAC